AUGGGGAGCCCUCUCAGCCCAGUAGUAGCAAAUUUCUAUAUGGAAUACUUUGAAAAACAGGCCCUAGAAACAGCACCAAAAAAGCCAACUGUUUGGUUCAGAUACGUAGAUGACACCUUCACAAUUUGGAGCCAUGGAGAGGAAGAACUCAGCAAGUUCCUGGACCAUCUUAACAGCAUCCACCCAAACAUCCAAUUCACCAUGGAAAAAGAAAAGGAAGGAAAACUGCCAUUUCUAGAUGUUCUGGUCAUCCGCAAACCCAAUCAACAAUUGGGCCACACAGUUUACAGAAAACCUACACACACAGAUAGAUACCUUCAUAAAAACUCCAACCAUCACCCAAGUCAAAAAAGGAGCACAAUCAAAGCCCUGACAGACCGUGCACAAAGAAUCUGCGAACCUCACCUUCUCCAAGGUGAACUCAACCACCUAAACUGGGCUCUACAGGCCAAUGGAGACUCCACCACAGACAUCAGAAGAGCUGCAAGGCCAAGAACAAGCCAUGAGAGUCAAGACAAAGAUCCACCCAGAGGAAAGGUGUUCUUACCAUACAUCAAGGGAACCACUGACCGCAUAGGCAAACUGAUGAAGAAGCACAACCUACAAACUAUCUACAGACCCACGAAGAAAAUCCAACAAAUGCUACGGUCAGCGAAGGACAAGAGGGAUCCUCUCUCUUCUGCAGGAGUCUACCGGAUACCAUGCAGCUGUGGACAAGUCUACAUAGGGACCACCAAACGCAGCGCCCAAACAAGAGUCAAAGAACAUGAAAGGCACUGCAGACUAAUUCAACCAGAGAAAUCAGCCAUAGCAGAGCAUUUGAUGAACCAGCCUGGACACAGGAUAUUAUUUGAGAACACAAAAAUGCUGGACCAUUCCAACAACUAUCAUGUCAGACUACACAGAGAAGCCAUUGAAAUCCACAAGCAUGUGGACAACUUCAACAGAAAGGAAGAAACCAUGAAAAUGAACAAAAUCUGGCUACCAGUAUUACAAAACUCCAAAAUCAAAACAGUAGAUGGGAACCAAAACUCUGAGGGCUUGACUGAACAAAGGAUACCCCCAGGCAAGAGACAAAACAUUUCCAAUGCUAAUUAG
rnacentral:lncRNA from 1 species